AUUAGAGUUUGAUCCUGGCUCAGAUUGAACGCUGGCGGCAUGCCUUACACAUGCAAGUCGAACGGCAGCGGGCCCUUCGGGGUGCCGGCGAGUGGCGAACGGGUGAGUAAUGCAUCGGAACGUGCCCAGAGGUGGGGGAUAACGCAGCGAAAGCUGUGCUAAUACCGCAUGUGAUCUGAGGAUGAAAGCGGGGGACCAAGCAGCAAUGUUUGGCCUCGCGCCUCUGGAGCGGCCGAUGUCAGAUUAGGUAGUUGGUGGGGUAAAGGCCUACCAAGCCGACGAUCUGUAGCUGGUCUGAGAGGACGGCCAGCCACACUGGGACUGAGACACGGCCCAGACUCCUACGGGAGGCAGCAGUGGGGAAUAUUGCACAAUGGGCGCAAGCCUGAUGCAGCGACGCCGCGUGGGGGAUGAAGGCCUUCGGGUUGUAAACUCCUUUCAUCAUCGACGAAGGGCUCACUUGUUGUGGGUUUGACGGUAGGUGGAGAAGAAGCACCGGCUAACUACGUGCCAGCAGCCGCGGUAAUAAU
rnacentral:rRNA from 1 species